rnacentral:rRNA from 1 species
CAGCAGCCGCGGGAAUACGAGGGGGGCAAGCGUUGUUCGGAUUUAUUGGGCGUAAAGGGUGCGUAGGCGGUUUGGCAAGUCUUGUGUGAAAUCUUCGGGCUCAACCCGAAGCCUGCACGAGAAACUACCGGGCUUGAGUAUUGGAGAGGUGAGUGGAAUUUCCGGUGUAGCGGUGAAAUGCGUAGAUAUCGGAAGGAACACCUGUGGCGAAAGCGGCUCACUGGACAAUAACUGACGCUGAUGCACGAAAGCUAGGGGAGCAGACAGGAUUAGAUACCCGCGUAGUCCCUGUCUCUUAUAC